CACAUACACAGCUAAUACCCGUCUCGUCCACUGCAAGCGAAUCCGAGCCUAAAGGCUGCCCACACACAGUAGGCAACAUAUGAAAAAAUAUCUAUUUCAUGAUUCCUUCUGCCAAGAAAUGUGAGAAGAGAGUAAAAUUCCCCCAGUUGGAAACAGGUUUGAUGGUUGAAGUGGGACAAUCCCCCUGUGGCUCCAGACCAGGGCUGGAUUACCAACCGGGCAAAGCGGGGAACCCCCCCCAGGGGCUCCAGAACCCGAGGGGAAUUUGAUUAAUUGCAAAUGUUUCACAGAUUUACACCACUGAAGUACAACAUCAACUAUGACGGGUCUUCCAUUCUCCAUCUGGUGACCCAGGCUUGAAGAAGGACUCUUUGUCAAAAUCUAGUUAUAGGACCUGAAAUGUUUGUUUAUUUUGAGCUCAUUUGUUGUAAUGUUGUGUUUCAAGUUAUUAACCCACCAUAAGUUAUUGUUGUAAUAUUCCAUCAUGAGGCUCAAACCAACAGUUAUUUUCAUUAUCAGU